GUUUAAUAUCAUUGGCGGGACUCCUUUUCACACACGGUCGGUUAGCCCCACGAGACAUCUAUUGCUGAUUAGACAAAGCAGAACAUAAGUUUCACCGUUAAGGAAUGAAGAUGGCGCUGCUUCAUUAAUCGUCAAGCUUGAUGUAGGCAACUGUCCCCCCCUGUUGUACAGUGCGCAAAGCGAUCCCCACUCUUCCGCCGAGAGCUCAUUAUCCGUGCCGAUAACUAUACUACGCUAUCCAGCAGUUUGGUAAUCUUUGGGUAUCAAUAAAUAAAACCAAUAAAUACACUUUUAAAAUCAA